CUUCUCUUGCCGGGGCAUCUCGAGCUGUGGAAAUGGACUUGGGUGCAUUUGUUCAGUCUCAGAAGUCGAUGUUCAAGCCUCGGCAUGAAGUGAAGCCUGAAGUGGCCUCUCACCCCUCCGCAGGUGUGAGAGCUGGAACACCACAGUUUAAACCAGCGCAGUGACCCUCUGCUCAUCCCUGAUGUCUCAUAAGAAGAUGACUUUAAGCCGACCACGUCGACUGUUCUUUAGAGUCAUGGUUGACUUUCAGCUCCUCUCCCAGGGUGCUGCAGGGAGAGGCAGAGGGCCAGGCCAGAGCUCCCGGACCGCCUGCUCAGUUACCAACAAACUGUGGUGA
rnacentral:lncRNA from 1 species